rnacentral:rRNA from 1 species
AGCGAACGCUGGCGGCGUGCCUAACACAUGCAAGUCGAGCGAAGGCAUGAGUGUAGCAAUACACUUAUGUACUUAGCGGCGGACGGGUGAGUAACACGUGGAUAAUCUGCCCUGAGGACCGGGACAACUCUUGGAAACGGGAGCUAAUACCGGAUGUGACCACGAUGCUUGAGGGCAUUGGGGUAAAAGGCGGCCUGCAAGGGCUGUUGCUUCGGGGAUGAGUCACGACCCAUCAGGUAGUUGGGGG